rnacentral:rRNA from 1 species
GACAGAAGGGGCAAGCGUUGCUCGGAAUCACUGGGCGUAAAGGGCGCGUAGGCGGGAUGGCAAGUCGGUCGUGAAAUCUCUCGGCUCAACCGAGAAACGUCGGCCGAUACUGCCGUUCUUGAGGGAUGCAGAGGAGACUGGAAUUCCCGGUGUAGCGGUGAAAUGUGUAGAGAUCGGGAGGAACACCGGUGGCGAAGGCGGGUCUCUGGGCAUUUCCUGACGCUGAGGCGCGAAAGCGUGGGGAGCAAACGGG